CCGAGUCUUCGUACUCAAAACAACCCUUCUGUGGACCUGAAUAAAACCGUUGCCUCGGCAGGCGGCCCUACCUACGGGCCAGAUAGCCCAGCUGCCUCCAGGGAGGAAACCCCCCCCUGAGGGCGCUGGCGCCAGCCGCUGGCCCCAAACCAAAACUCUAGUAACUUUUACCUUCUGAGUUUUAAUGCAAGAAAUAAGUCA
rnacentral:misc_RNA from 1 species